UUUGUCCUACGGGGCGCAGCAGUGGGGGAUAUUGCACAAUGGGGGGAACCCUGAUGCAGCGACGCCGCGUGGGUGAAGGAGCGUUUCGGCGCGUAAAGCCCUAUCGGCAGGGAAGAAGAUGACGGUACCUGACCAAGAAGCCCCGGCUAACUACGUGCCAGCAGCCGCGGGAAUACGUAGGGGGCAAGCGUUAUCCGGAUUUACUGGGUGUAAAGGGGGCGCAGACGGCAAUGCAAGCCAGGAGUGAAAGCCCGGGGCUCAACUCCGGGGCUGCUUUUGAAACUGUGUUGCUAGCUUGCAGGGGG
rnacentral:rRNA from 1 species